rnacentral:rRNA from 1 species
GAUGAACGCUGGCGGCGUGCCUAAUACAUGCAAGUCGAGCGAACAGACGAGGAGCUUGCUCCUCUGACGUUAGCGGCGGACGGGUGAGUAACACGUGGAUACCUACCUAUAAGACUGGGAUAACUUCGGGAAACCGGAGCUAAUACCGGAUAAUAUAUUGAACCGCAUGGUUCAAUAGUGAAAGACGGUUUUGCUGUCACUUAUAGAUGGAUCCGCGCCGCAUUAGCUAGUUGGUAAGGUAACGGCUUACCAAGGCGACGAUGCGUAGCCGACCUGAGAGGGUGAUCGGCCACACUGGAACUGAGACACGGUCCAGACUCCUACGGGAGGCAGCAGUAGGGAAUCUUCCGCAAUGGGCGAAAGCCUGACGGAGCAACGCCGCGUGAGUGAUGAAGGUCUUCGGAUCGUAAAACUCUGUUAUUAGGGGAGAACAAAUGUGUAAGUAACUAUGCACGUCUUGACGGUACCUAAUCAGAAAGCCACGGCUAACUACGUG